rnacentral:miRNA from 2 species
UUAUCAUUCUCGCGCCCCG